rnacentral:rRNA from 1 species
UCCGUAGGUGAACCUGCGCGAAGGAUCAUUAACGGUUGACUUUCUCCUAGUGAGAAAUGUUUACUGCAAACCUUGGGAUAAAACCCUAGGGGCUUGGCCUGUCUGCCUUGCUCUGCUACGCAGUGUAGAGUGAUGUCGGAAUUCCAGCAGUUCCCUUUGCUCUCCUGUGGCCUUUGCCUUCAGGUACAGUGCCCUCUUGACUCUGUUAGGGGAUAAAGACUUUGGUCUGAACUGUAUAAGAAUCUUCACCUGUUUGCUUAGGUUUUUUGCUCACCCCGUGAUGGGCUGUGAACCUUUUAGUACUGUGUUUUCUCUAUGGAGCAGAAAUGCUUGUAACUUAGUGAAAUAACACUCUACAGUGGAUCACUUGGCUCGGGGGUCGAUGAAGAACGCAGCUAACUGCGCGUCGGAAUGUGAACUGCAGGACAUGUGAGCAUCGACCUUUUGAACGCAUAUUGCGGAACAGCAGUUCUACUGUCUGUUCCAUGUUUCGCUCAGGGUCGUUUAACAUCCAUCUCUUUUGGUUUCCAAAAGAGCAUUGAGGCUUUGCAGAUUUUUAUAAUUUGCAUGCCUUUAAGUUGCAACUGCCUGUUAAACCAGAGGCUCUAGUGACUCUUGGGAUUCGUCCUGGGUUGCAUGGCUGAUGGUUGGGCAGAGGUGAAGCAGUUUUAUGCUGCAUUACCGGCUACUUUACAUUUGACCUGAGAUGAAGCAAGAUUACCCCGCCGAAUUUAAGCAUAUCAAUAAGCGGAGGAC